UACGGAGGGUGCGAGCGUUGUCCGGAAUCACUGGCGUAAAGGCGCGUAGGCGGCCGUGUAAGUCACUUGUGAAAUCCCGGGGCGUCAACUCCGGGGCUGCAGGUGAGACUGCGUGGCUAGAGCACGGUAGAGGCGAGUGGAAUUCCCCGGUGUAGCGGUGGAAUGCGUAGGAGUAUCGGGAAGAACACCGGUGCGAAGGCGGC
rnacentral:rRNA from 1 species